rnacentral:lncRNA from 1 species
UUCCAUUGCUUAUGAAAAAACAUCAUUGGGAGAGGUCAACCUCAGUUACCUCGAUGGAUUAGUCUUUGCAGUUGUGCACGUAGGAUACCUUGGUUUACUAAGAAAAAAAGUAACUUGAUUAAUUGUAAAAAUUUUGUGUAGUUAACCACAAUUAUCUGAUAUUCAUUUACAUGUAGAUAUUUGACCAUCUGAAAAAUUGUGAUUAAUCAUGUCCAAGUUUGUGGUUAAGGUAGUUACAUCGUGGUUGAUGUGUUUUGAUGAUGGUAUAUACAUUAACCAUUUAAUGAAAGCAAUUUGAAUUGCGUUAACUGCUUAAAAAGUUUUUGCGAAAGUUGUCUAAAUUUGUUUGCUCAAAUAACACAACUGAUUUGCAAUUUGGUUUCUAUAUGAUGCUCAUUACUGUCUUACUCUGAGAUACAAUGUGUUUUGAAUUUGGUGCUUUUUAUAAACCUUUAUGCCUGUGCGUUGAAUUGAAUGUUGC